rnacentral:rRNA from 1 species
AGAGUUUGAUCCUGGCUCAGGAUGAACGCUAGCGGCAGGCUUAACACAUGCAAGUCGAGGGGUAGAAGCAGCUUGCUGCUUUGAGACCGGCGCACGGGUGCGCAACGCGUAUACAAUCUACCUUUUACAGAGGGAUAGCCCAGAGAAAUUUGGAUUAAUACCUCAUAGUAUUUUCGAAUCGCAUGGUUUGAUUAUUAAAGUUCCAACGGUAAAAGAUGAGUAUGCGUCCCAUUAGCUAGAUGGUAAGGUAACGGCUUACCAUGGCAACGAUGGGUAGGGGUCCUGAGAGGGAGAUCCCCCACACUGGUACUGAGACACGGACCAGACUCCUACGGGAGGCAGCAGUGAGGAAUAUUGGACAAUGGGCGCAAGCCUGAUCCAGCCAUGCCGCGUGCAGGAAGACGGUCCUAUGGAUUGUAAACUGCUUUUGUACAGGAAGAAACACUGGUUCGUGAACCAGCUUGACGGUACUGUAAGAAUAAGGAUCGGCUAACUCCGUGCCAGCAGCCGCGGUAAUACGGAGGAUCCAAGCGUUAUCCGGAAUCCUUGGGUUUAAAGGGUCC